UGGGGAAUAUUGCACAAUGGGCGAAAGCCUGAUGCAGCAACGCCGCGUGAGUGAUGAAGGCCUUCGGGUUGUAAAGCUCUGUCUUUUGGGACGAUAAUGACGGUACCAAAGGAGGAAGCCACGGCUAACUACGUGCCAGCAGCCGCGGUAAUACGUAGGUGGCAAGCGUUGUCCGGAUUUACUGGGCGUAAAGGAUGCGUAGGCGGGAUAGUCAGUCUGUUGUAAAAGUGCGGGGCUCAACCCCGUGAUCGCAAUGGAAACAGCUAUUCUUGAGUGCAGGAGAGGAAAGUGGAAUUCCCAGUGUAGCGGUGAAAUGCGUAGAUAUUGGGAGGAACACCAGUGGCGAAGGCGACUUUCUGGACUGUGUCUGACGCUGAGGCGCGAAAGCCAGGGGGAGCGAACGGGAUUAGAUACCCCGGUAGUCCUGGCCGUAAACGAUGAGUACUAGGUGUAGGAGGUAUCGACCCCUUCUGUGCCGCAGUUAACACAUAAGUACUCCGCCUGGGAAGUACGAUCGCAAGAUUAAAACUCAAAGGAAUUG
rnacentral:rRNA from 1 species